CGAGAAAGUUUUCUUCGGAAAGCGAGUAGAGUGGCGCACGGGUGAGUAACGCGUAGGCAAUCUACCCUUAUGACUGGGAUAACAUUGGGAAACUGGUGCUAAUACCGGAUACACUUCUUUACUGCGGGGUAAAGGAGGAAAGGUGGCCUCUUCAUGAAAGCUACCGUAUAGGGAUGAGCCUGCGUACCAUUAGCUAGUAGGCGGGGUAACGGCCCACCUAGGCAACGAUGGUUAGCGGGUCUGAGAGGAUGAUCCGCCACACUGGAACUGGAACACGGACCUGACUCCUACGGGAGGCAGCAGUGAGGAAUAUUGCGCAAUGGGGGAAACCCUGACGCAGCGACGCCGCGUGAGUGAGGAAGGUUUUCGGAUCGUAAAGCUCUGUCAGAAGGGAAGAAGUGUUAUAUGGUUAACACCCAUAUAAUUUGACGGUACCUUCAGAGGAAGCACCGGCUAACUCCGUGCCAGCAGCCGCGGUAAUACGGAGGGUGCAAGCGUUGUUCGGAAUUACUGGGCGUAAAGGGCGCGUAGGCGGCUGGAUAAGUCAGAUGUGAAAGUCCAUGGCUCAACUGUGGAAGUGCAUUUGAAACUGUCCGGCUUGAGUAUCGGAGGGGAGUGUGGAAUUCCCGGUGUAGAGGUGAAAUUCGUAGAGAUCGGGAGGAACACCGGUGGCGAAGGCGACACUCUGGACGAAUACUGACGCUGAGGCGCGAAAGCGUGGGGAGCAAACAGGAUUAGAUACCCUGGUAGUCCACGCCGUAAACGAUGUGAACUAGGGAUAGGGGGUGUUGAUCCCUCCUG
rnacentral:rRNA from 1 species